AGAAAUGCCUGAGAGCUAUAUAGUAUCUUUAGCAGAAAGAAUAAUUUAUUUUCACAUUUUCUUGUAGCAUUAUUGGCACAUGAAAAGGAUAUUUCUGGAUUCAUAUAAUACUAAGAUUGUAAUGUAGAACAAAGAGAAUUUAGUUUUUGUAAACUAAUUUCAACUAACAAAACUGGUCACACAGGUCAUAUCAAGAAGACAAAAAUAUUUACUCUGUCCUCUUUCAUAAUUCAUGCCAUAUUAUUGAAUGGGGAUAAUGUGUAACAGGCUCAGAAGCAGUUUGAGACUUUGAAUUAUGCAAGUGGAGUGCAAUGGCACGAUCAUGGCUUACUGCAGCCUCAGCCUCCUGGGCUCAAGUGAUCCUCCCACCUCAGCCUCCUGAGUAGCUGGGACUAUAGGCACAUACCACCAUGCCCAGCUAAUUUUUAA
rnacentral:lncRNA from 1 species